GUUUAAAUGGAUUUUGCCAAGAGAUGAGAACUGAAGAUUUAAGGAGGUAAAAAUCAAAAAAAGGGCUAUGCAAUGUGGUGUUUUUUUAGUGCUUACUGAUCUGAUAUUCAGGAUGGGAAGGAGAUCAAAGGAAUAAAGGCUAAAAUAUUAUGAUGGUCUGAAUGACUAGUGCCAUUCAAGAUUCAAAAUGAUGGCUCGAGCUCACUUAUUGGUGCCAUAAGAUCACUGAUCACCAUCACAAGUUUGCAAACUAAAAAGCAGGAAUGUGGACUUCAUUCCAUAGUCUUACUCUGAAGAAAAAAGAGCUACAAAGAAUAAUGACCCAUGACUUCUGGAGAGGAACACGGUUGUUUCAUGUUUGCUUGCAUUAUUCAGAAACAUUUUGCAUCUUCUCUUCCUAA
rnacentral:lncRNA from 1 species